UACGUAGGGGGCUAGCGUUGUCCGGAAUCAUUGGGCGUAAAGAGCGUGUAGGCGGUCCGGUAAGUCCGUUGUGAAAGUCAAGGGCUCAACCCUUGAAUGCCGGCGGAUACUGUCGGGCUAGAGUCCGGAAGAGGCAAGUGGAAUCCCCGGUGUAGCGGUGAAAUGCGCAGAUAUCGGGAGGAACACCUAUGGCGAAGGCAGCUUGCUGGGACGGUACUGACGCUGAGACGCGAAAGCGUGGGGAGCAAACAGG
rnacentral:rRNA from 1 species